GAGCGCGCGCGCGCCCGAGGGCGAGCCCAUACCCGCGCGAGGAGCGGCCACUUUCCGUGUCGUCGAGGCGAGAGGAGCGCGGCCACCAGCUUGAAUAGGUGACGCCCUGGGCCUGUUGGCGGUUACGCUUCCUCCUGCAGAUUGUUCCAUGAAACACAGCGCUGGAGCAGAGACUACCAUCCUUGGCUGACGCCUCUCGAAUCCAGCCCACAGCCAGUAUCCGGCAUGCCGCCACAUGGGCAGUUAUAUGCACUCAUUAUGGCUCUUCGGUAUUUUUUCAGCGUUUUUUUUCUUUCUUUUUUUUUUUUUUUUGCCAGCCCCGAAAAGCUGCUUCUUUGUAUGUGGCGAUGUGGGACGAAGAGGACGACCGUGAGCGAUCGGGGAGACCUGCCUCUCGGUCCAGUGUUGGCACGGCGACACACACUACCUCUUUCCUCCCACUCCAAACGGUAUAAAUAGAAGGUGGAGCAUCAGUGAUCUGCUCUGCUGGGCCUAUGGAGAAGAUAGGAAAUGCAGCAUUCAUCUCACACACCCUGCAGCUACGGAGCGGAGAGACCGAGGUGGCGAAGGCGGUUCGAGAGCGGAAUCGGCUGAGCGUCUACGGGGGACGUGCGGAUCAAAGGGACGUCUCUUCGGCAGGAAAUGAUUAUUCCUAUAAGUGGAAAACGCUGCAAAUGGCUUAAUUGUACUUCUCUGCACAGGUGCAGCAGGGUAAUUAAAGCUUAGUAACCCCUGCCCCCCCCACCCCCAUGAUGCUCAGAGAGAAAAGUAGUUUUUCAUGUGCUUGUAAUUGUGCUGCUCCAAUAAGUGAAGAAAUGGAUGGGUUCCCGCCCCCUGCGGACCUCCGCAAAGGUCUUCAUGGCCGUGGUCCUCGGUUUCCGAUGGCGUUCCGUUCCAGCAGCCCAGUCGUAUGAACCGUAAGGAUCCGUAAACAUCCAGCAUGUGCGGAUGAUACGUUGUAUAAUAGGGCCUUGUUAUAUUUUUCAAAAAUUUUGCACAUUUUUCCUGUUAAACUAAUAUUCAGUUAUAUAAAUCCAGUAGGGUUUUUGUAACCGUAUUUUCAUGUUACGCUAUUUAGUUUAUUUUCAUCUGCUUCAUUUUCACUCGUCAACGUUUUCCGCUCAGCCGCGCUAGAUGACCGACGCGUCUACCUGCUCGCUGUUUUAAAUAAAAAGUAGCUCGGAGCGAAUCGCAAGCGGUUUUGUGAGACUGCAGUGGCUGCUGGAGACCCAAAAAGCGAGCGAAACCCCACGCGUGCGCUUCCCUACGGCGGCACGGCCAGCCGAUGUCGUCGCGCAGCCGAAGGAGCGGUCGACGUCAGAUGUUCCGACCAAAACGUAAAUUUAAAAAAAAAAAAGCGAUACGGUUAAUUUGACAGCGGUUGUAAGCGCAAGGUGGUGCGUCGUCGCUCGAGGAACACCUGUACCGCCUUUUCAGCUCGUUGCGCCGAGCGAUGGGAUCGGCUUAUUGCUUUUCUCGAAAUCGGAAUCGGGACUGUAGCGUACGGCGGGUGGGGAACAACUGCGGGUAGAUUUACCGCAAGUUCCAUUUCCAUUUUCCCUAAUUAUGGCGACACAAAAUCCUUACUUGAACAACUAUGCGAACGGAGGAGGUUUCGUAGUCGUCACAACAUCCGAAACGGCCAAACAUUUUCUACUGGCCUGCAAGGUUUUCGCACAAAAAUGUCAUUUAAUUAAAAAUGUCCAUUUUUAUUUUUUUUUUAUUAGAAAGCCUCGAUAACACAAACUUCAGGCAAACCAGCAUCCGCAAACACGUCACUGUCCCACUGCUGUCGCCACCCAGUGGGGCCCUUCAUGGCGCCGUCACGAUGCGAGUGGCCGCACCCGGGGCUCGGCGCUCCGUUCGUAGGCUCCUCCCAGGUGCAGCCGUGAGUCGUGCCGAGUGGGCGCGGCCAUGCGUUCGCCUCCUACGUGGACCCUGUUCGUUCGUUCUCUUCGAGACCACAGAAUCCUGACAUUUAUCAGUCCGUCCAUCCAUCUAGCCCGACGGUCACCAAAGACAUUUCUUCUCAGUCAUACAGCAACUUCCCGUUUGUUACGCAGCUGUCGGACGCCUGCCAAAGGUAAUAUACGCGAGCGUUUGCCGCGCACGUCCUGCCGUUUUACCGCGAAAGAUUUCAAAGGGCUGAACGAAGAUGUCGCACCGCAAUAUAAUGGACAGCAUGAGACAAAAAUUGUUUUGUAUCAGUUUUAUUUGCAUGUCUGUUAAUGUCACGAUGACGGCGUC